rnacentral:tRNA from 1 species
AACAAAUAAGCUUUAAAGCGUUUCACUUACACUGAAAAAAAACUAAGUUUAAAUAAAA